rnacentral:rRNA from 1 species
UACGAAGGGGGCUAGCUUUGCUCGGAAUCACUGGGCGUAAAGCGCACGUAGGCGGCUUUCUAAGUCAGGGGUGAAAUCCUGGAGCUCAACUCCAGAACUGCCUUUGAUACUGGGAAGCUUGAGUCCGGAAGAGGUGAGUGGAACUGCGAGUGUAGAGGUGAAAUUCGUAGAUAUUCGCAAGAACACCAGUGGCGAAGGCGGCUCACUGGUCCGGUACUGACGCUGAGGUGCGAAAGCGUGGGGAGCAAACAGG